rnacentral:rRNA from 1 species
GAUGAACGCUGGCGGCGUGCCUAAUACAUGCAAGUCGAGCGAACGGACGAGAAGCUUGCUUCUCUGAUGUUAGCGGCGGACGGGUGAGUAACACGUGGAUAACCUACCUAUAAGACUGGGAUAACUUCGGGAAACCGGAGCUAAUACCGGAUAAUAUUUUGAACCGCAUGGUUCAAAAGUGAAAGACGGUCUUGCUGUCACUUAUCGAUGGAUCCGCGCUGCAUUAGCUAGUUGGUAAGGUAACGGCUUACCAAGGCAACGAUGCAUAGACGACCUGAGAGGGUGAUCGGCCACACUGGAACUGAGACACGGUCCAGGCUCCUACGGGAGGCAGCAGUAGGGAAUCUGCCGCAAUGGGCGAAAGCCUGACGGAGCAACGCCGCGUGAGUGAUGAAGGUCUUCGGAUCGUAAAACUCUGUUAUUAGGGAAGAACAUAUGUGUAAGUAACUGUGCACAUCGUGACGGUACCUAAUCAGAAAGCCACGGCUAACUACGUG